UGAAAGAAAAGACCCACUGGGAGAAAAGAUCAUGAAGACCAUGGUAAGUUAAGCAGUAACUCCAUGAGUUUUUGAGCAGAAUUGUCAAGAGCUCAAUCAAUCAGUUCUUGGUGGCGACACCAUACUGCUGAUCAUCCGUUUCUAAAAUGAAGAGCAAGAAACAAAUAUUCUUUCAUGACUGCAAAUAUUAACUCAAAAAAAUAAUAUAUACGCAUGCACACACUUCAGCUCUAAAUUCUGGGAAUGUGGCAAAAACAAAACAACUAAUUUUGCCCUAAGUGACUAUCAUUGAGGAAUAGAGUUAAGAAUGCUGAAAUGAAAGCAUAAAGGCUUAGGGGUUUUGUGUGUUAAAGGAGUGACAACGGAGGGUUUCCCAGAGGCAGAAGAUGGAAGGGGGUAGCUGUUUCAAUGCGUGGAAGGUAAGUGGAGUCUGAAGGCAGCAGGGUGGCAACAAGCCACAGGGAAGAUGUUCCAAUGUGCAGAAGACUGUCAGGAGGGAUUGGAGAUGGCAUGGGGAAGGCUUUGACUGGCCCUUCAGGGAUCAGGAGAUUGGCUACAUAGGGAAGUUGAGCAAAUAAGUUGAUAUAGUGAGGCCUAUGGGAGCCAGGUUUCUGGGCAAGGGAGGUACAAACAUGUGGGAGGCGGAAGGGACUAGAAUGAACUCUGGUGCUGGAGUGGAUGGGAGGUAGUGGUGUGAAGGCAUGGUUUGCAGUCUGCAGAUGGCUGUGGACAUCAAUGUAUAUAUAUACACACAAGUAUUUCUUAGUUGAAGCCACCGAUGGAGCUGAGGGGCAGUGACACCCCAGCAGCAAUCAGUGCACACAGAGCCCAGAUCUUGGUUUCUAAAUACCGUUCUCCACUAAAGGAACCAGGUCUUGUGGAAGAAAAUGGCUGAUUAUAGGGCUGGGGCAGAUAAAAUACGAGAUUAGCCUGGAACAUCUUUUUUUCACAGAAAAUAUGGAGGUUCUCAAUGAAUGACAGAGGAGUGUUAAAAGGACCAAGAACUCUGCAGGAGUUCCCCCUGGCAAUGUUGGGAUAAUUUGGGGUAAUUUAAGAAUCGGAAGAAAUAAUGGUAGCGAUGAGGUGUAACCCAUGAAAUAAAAUAGAAGUUCCUGACUCCAAACUAAUGACCAGGUGAGUCAGCGGAGAGAAACCUCUCAGAACAUCAUUGAACAAACGGGACAAAGAUUGGAAGAAAUUUGCUGUAUGACAAUCAUCAUAGGUAUAAUUUCAGUAAAGUGCUACCAUUCCAACUCCGAGACCCCCAGCCAUUGAACGUGAACUCACACCGUUUCCUGACAAGGCCUCCACUUACCUCUCUGGCCCCUUCUUCAGCAGAGAACACCCAGUCCUCAACACUCCAGGCGUCCUGAACUGCUUUCAGGUCUCUGAAAGAGCUCUGUCUUCUGCCUGAAACACAGUUUCUUCCUUUGCCCAGAGCAAACCCUUAUCCAUUCCUCAGUCCCAGGUCGAUCUUCCUCCAGGGAGUAGGGUCCUGAGUAGGGCCCUUCCCCCAUUCUCGGGCCUCCCCCUGCCCCCAGAGACAGCUUCCCACUCACGCCUCCUGCCUGUCCUCUUCCUGUCUUUGAGAGAGUUGCUUUCUAACUGCCUGUUUGCUUCCUUUAUCCUCUCCUAGAACUUGACACUUAAUGAAGGCACAUUCUGUUCUCCUUGGUCAAAGUUCUGUGAUCAAGGCCAGUUCCACUGUGGUGAGUAAAUACAUGUUGGAAGAACGAAUGGACACGGGCACCCAAGCAGAAGCAGCAGCUAACCCACACGGCGGUCCGCUUCCUCAGCGGCUGCCGACAAACGUAGGAAGAGCAGAAAGAGAAGACAUUGAGGGAACACGGAGGGUUAGGAAGGUCAGCAUGGAAACCGGACUUCCUGGCUCCCCCUGUGUGACUUCGAUCAAGUUACAUAACCAUUCCCCCCCAUUUCUCUGUCUGUGAAGUCAUAGAACUGAUCCCAUAGAGCUGUAGGGAUUAAGUGAGUUAAUACGUGGGAAAUGCUUAGUAUGGUUGCUGGUGAGUCGUAAGCGUGAUGAGAGCUGGAGUGUUCCUGAUACAGUACUGUUGGGAGCGGCUGCCGUCCUGUGUCCGGAAGAAGACACCAUCGCUAUGGCCAGGGUCCUUCUAACGUGCAUCCGUCAUGUCCGUCUCUCAAUGCCAAGCCUCCACUGAUGAUUUCCACCUACUUCUAUGAAGUCUUCUGCUUGGUGGCAGCCUCACCUUGGAGGACAGAUGCAUCUUUCUCUCAUUUCUCCUCAUUUGUACUGUAUUCGACAGUUCUUGGAUAUUCUAAGUUCGGAUUCA